ensembl:misc_RNA Y_RNA Y RNA
GGUUGGUCUGAAGGUAGUGAGUUAUCUUAAUUGAUUGUUCACAGUCAGUUACAGAUCGAAAUCCUUAUUCUACUCUUUGUCCACUUCUCACUACUGCACUUGACUAAAAAA